AUUGAGCAAGAGGUGGGGACAGUGAGUGAUGAGUUGUUGAGUUGAAUCCCAAUUUAGCAGUGAGCUUUUUGCCUUACUAAUACCUGCUUGCUGCAGGCAGCCUCUGGUUUCUUUGCCCACCGUCUUGACUAGAAUGGGAGUGUCAGAGGGAUUCUGGCACCAUGAAUACUGGCUGUCACCUGGAGCUCUCUGGGAAUACCUGAAGGAGUCUGCAGACAUACAAUAACCACAGCCUCAGCACCUCCUGCUCUGCUUCCCUGGUACCCCUGUUAUUGAUCUUAGUCCGAUGCAUCUUUGAAAGGCGGAGUCCAAACAAUCCAAGUCCAGGUGUGGACGAUCUUGCUGAUGAUGUUACUGGAACUGUGGCAUCCAGAUGUAUCAGCCGAGGUUUCCAGAGAUCCCAAUCUCGAGUCCUUACCAGGAUCAGCUUCCAGGUGUCCGGUUCCUGGAACAGCCCAUCUCUGGGACUCUGGAGUUUGGGUCCGCAGGCUGCAAUGCUGGAAGACAGACAGCCACCUUCUCCCUCUGUGGAACAUCAGCCUUGUGCAGGAUGUCACCUCACCCCCACUUGAUACUUACCUCUUCCGAGCCACGUCUCAUAAGCUCUCAGAGAAAAGUAUCACACCUGAGAUAGCUCAGCUACGUCAGGUGGCAUAAACGUAGCAGGAUGGCUUCUGAGACAAGUGCUGGAAACAGAAAAGUUUUAAUAAAAGGCAAAAUAACAAAGCUCUUUGCA
rnacentral:lncRNA from 1 species